UCCAAAUGUUUUUGCAUUUAACCCAAUUUGUUAAGCCACACUACCAAUUGAAGUGAUUUGUUAUUGAUUUUGGACAGAAUUCUGAUGCCGAUCAUAAUGAGUUAUCGUUCGAAAAUUUUCAAAGUGAAAUCACUUAUUCCUAUAAUGAAUUUGUUUCGGAUUGGCACCACUGUUUUCAUCCAUUGAUUUUGAAAUGUUUUGCUUCUGCGUGUAAACGUCAAAACUACGCGUCAUAAUAGUCAACACGAGUAAACUCAUCGCGCGUGAAAAUGAAUAACCCAAAUUCAAGCUCCCAUCAGGAAUCGCAGCAGGAAGGAUCCCGUUUCCAGCCGAAAUAUUGAGCAUUCUUAUCCGCCACGGAAUUGAUCCAUCUAACCCGGCGGCAGCAAUCAAGCUUCUCACUGAGUUGGGCGUUGCAACGGUGGAGGAAACCGAUGACCAAAUCAUCGUUGUCUACAACCAUCCCGAAACACAUGUCCCAUUGGAUGGAAAUGAGGACAGCAAUAUUUUUGAAUGCAAACCUGUAGGAAUCCUGGACCAAGGCGGGGUAUCAGGAGCGGGUGUCGGUGAACUGCAUCGGAACUGUUUUGAAUCUGGUGACCAGCUACUAGCCGUGACGAACAGCCGUGACGAUUCCGUGGAUCCUCCAGAUUCUGAAGAGCAAAACUGUCCUUUCGAUCUAACGGCAACGAAAACCGAAGUGACCCCAGCAGUUUUAUCACCAACGACACAAGCGCUCCGUGUGAUAUCACCGAAUAAACAACCAGCAAUAUUGAAUGCCUCGUCCGUCUGUAGUGAGCAGAAUAAAGAAAACGCCGGGACGACCAGUGGAUUUCUGGAGUUUUCACCUAAUAUAUUGAAAUUGUUGCUCAACGAAACCGUCACGGGAAACAAUAUCUCCAGCAAGCGGAAAAAGGAAUCCUAUCGGAAAGAAGACAACUGGA